GGGAUAUUGACACAAAUUGCAGCGAUGCUUUGGUGAAGAUUACUCAAGACUAAACACACAAAAUGAAGCGAGUUUUCACCCUCACAGACAGAGCUUGGUUGGGGUCCUGUCUCCUGUACAAAUGGCAGAAGACACUGGGGAAUUACAUCGCUGUCGCAGGAUCUGACAGCUCAGUGAAGAUAUUUGACAGACAUGGACAGAGGAAGAAUGAACUAAAUCUACCAGGG